GUAUCACAGGCAUUUCCCGCAAACAUCCAUUAGUUGCAUGCCAGCAUUUGCCGCAUCUUCUCUACCCCAGUGUAACGUAGUGUACAUGAAAAUCCUUCUACAGAAUAAUGAACUUCCUGUUAUAACCUGCAAUGCUUUCCGGAAAAUGCACCAGAACCAGUGAAACUUUCAGAAACCAUGAAAAGUCAUUUCUGAAAAUUCCGAAAAACCGCGCCGAACGGCUGUGAAUCGUGAUAUGCUGUAUGGCUAUACAACCAAUAUGCGUUUCCAUUCGACUUCCAACUUUAUAAUUAUUACACUACCUUCUGGGCUUUUGGGCUCUGAGUCCAGCGUCCUGGAUUUACACCGAAGAUUUUCAUGGGUCCCGUCGAUCCAUAUGCUGGAGGAUGUGGUAUUGCUCCAGAGCAGGCCCGAAUACGAGCGCCGCUAGGAAGGCGAAUACCGCACCUUUUACCCCUGAAAUUCCCAGAGUUGUCGCAUUGGCUCGGCUAAGGGAGACACCUCGGAUAAUGCUCACCUAGUGUUCCACUUCGGAAUUCCUUGCACUGAACCCAGUCGGAUAAAUUUCUUCAUUGCCUGAAUCAUGUUGAAUCCACAAGCGUGAUAUUGUCGUGAGUAAAGAACUGAUCAGAAUGCGAGAAGUGCUGCGCAUCACCGUGGAUCCAAGAGUGCGGAAAUCCGGGAAUCGGCUAUCCAAUUUUCGAGUCGUAUCCUGCCCUAUCCCAUGAGUCGUCAACGGAGUGCCGCGAGCCAAGACUGAAAACAAACUCGGAGCAAUUUCACCUCGGUCAACCUAAACGCAUCGUGAUUAAGUCAAUGAAAGCUUGCACUAUUGUCAAAUAACUAUAAAAUUAUAUUAUAAUUAAAAGCAAUUUUAAUACAAACACCGAGAACGAAAAUUAAAUCCGGUGGUGCAAUACCGUGGCCAUAGCACUGGCGCUAAAUUUAAGAAUACUGUAAAAUUAAUAUUUUAUCACAUAUUUUUUUCUCGUUUGCAGGGGAUGGUUUUCUGUCAAUUUUCAUGUAUCUGCCCAGUUAACAAACAGCAUACUUUGCGAGCGCGCGCUAUUUAAAAAGUGCCGGGAUAAGCACUUGUUGUUAUGGACCUACAAUGACUUCCCGGCGCACCUUAGGUGCACGGCUCCCAACCGCCACAGGGCACCAUCCUGAUAGAACGGAUGGCUGGAAAGCGAAUGUUCGGGACGUACUUCCGUGUAGGCUUUUAUGGACCGAAAUUUGGUGAUUUGGACGGUGAAGAAUUUAUCUAUAAAGAACCGGUCAUCACAAAGCUACCGGAAGUCUCCAGUCGCCUGGAAUCAUUUUAUUCGGAAAAGUACGGCGCUGAAUAUGUCGACAUCAUUAAAGAUUCCAAUGCCGUCAAACGGGAACUGUUGGAUCCGGAGAAGGUGUACAUACAGAUUACUUAUGUGGAGCCGCAUUUCGAUAAAUGGGAACUGCGCAAUCGCGAAACGUUCUUCCAAAAGAACUACAAUCUCCGUCGAUUCGUGUACUCUACACCGUUUACCAUGGAUGGCCGGGCUCAUGGCGAUUUACAUGAACAGUAUAAGCGGAAAACGAUUGUUACGACCGCUAAUGUAGCUUCGUAGCCGGCUUUUCCGUACGUGAAAACGCGAAUUCAAGUUAUCGCAAGGGAGCAGUCGGUUCUGACGCCGAUCGAGUUAGCGAUCGAAGAUAUUCAGAAGAAAACGGAAGAACUACAUGCGGCCAUUAAGCAGGAACCUUCGGAUGCCAAAAUGUUGCAAAUGGUUUUGCAGGGCUGCAUUGGAACAACGGUUAAUCAAGGUCCUUUGGAAGUAGCCGCAGUUUUCUUGUCGCAUCCACAUGACCAACCAAUGACGGCCCUACAGCAUAAACUGCGUUUGUGCUUCAAAGAUUUUUCCAGACGGUGUGCGGAAGCUCUGAAAUUAAACAAAACCCUUAUCGCGGCUGAUCAGAAAGAAUACCAACGGGAAUUAGAAAAGAAUUAUCAGCGCUUCCAUGAUUCCAUCAAACCAAUGUUGCAGUACAAUGCCGAAAUGCUGGCUGCCGAUGAACUGGAAAAUUCCAACUUGAAUUCGACUUGUUAAUCUCUUUUGUUUUUUCUUUGUUUAUAGAUGUUCUCUACGUAAGAAUCUGAUUGCACUUGUUACUUAUGCACAACGGUAAUGUUUGAACUAUUGUCGGGAAUCUCGAUUUGACAUCUUGCAGUCUCCAAAUUGUUGAUAAUGUGGUUCAGUUUAUUUUUUGUUUGUUAACAGUCUUGUGAUUCGGUUCCAGUUUAAAUUUUUUGUGGGUGUUUAAACUCACUAC